AUUGAACGCUGGCGGCAUGCCUUACACAUGCAAGUCGAACGGCAGCGCGGGAGCAAUCCUGGCGGCGAGUGGCGAACGGGUGAGUAAUAUAUCGGAACGUGCCCAGUAGUGGGGGAUAGCCCGGCGAAAGCCGGAUUAAUACCGCAUACGACCUACGGGUGAAAGGGGGGGAUCGCAAGACCUCUCGCUAUUGGAGCGGCCGAUAUCAGAUUAGGUAGUUGGUGGGGUAAAGGCCUACCAAGCCUGCGAUCUGUAGUUGGUCUGAGAGGCCGACCAGCCACACUGGGACUGAGACACGGCCCAGACUCCUACGGGAGGCAGCAGUGGGGAAGUUUGGACAAUGGGCGCAAGCCUGAUCCAGCAAUGCCGCGUGCAGGAAGAAGGCCUUCGGGUUGUAAACUGCUUUUGUCAGGGAAGAAAUCCUCUGGGUUAAUACCUCGGGGGGAUGACGGUACCUGAAGAAUAAGCACCGGCUAACUACGUGCCAGCCGCCGCGGUAACAC
rnacentral:rRNA from 1 species